AAGGAUUUAAGUUAAACUAAACUAGUAGUCUUCAAAGCUGCCAAUAGGGGCUCUCUAAGCCUUA
rnacentral:tRNA from 1 species